ACGUAAUGUGUGUUGCUAAUGUUGGGCCAUGUAAUAUGUAAUACAUUAACGUUUUAAUGAAUAGUCUAACGAGUUAUAGUCGUUGUACUCUAUUGUUAUAAUAUGUCUUUUUGACUGAAUACAUGUUUGUUUUAUUUCUCUAUAUCCUAGAUUCGCAGCUGGACACAUCCUUCUACACUGUAUGCAAACAUGCAACAUCAUAACACACAGUACAAGGAGUCAAACUGGCAUAUGAGGAGCAAAGGAACCCAGGCAGUAGCAUCGUUUCACAAUGUUUCCAUCACCAUCAUCAGUGGAUGCCUUUGCCGUCUGUAGCCUGAGAUUUCAGAUUUGCAGCCAAAAAAAUUUGAUUUUCUCAUUUAUUGGAAUGCUGUGCAGGUAUUUGUACCUUACAGCCAUCCAUUACAAUGUCACCAAGCCGUAACAAAAGCAGGAGAGGGAAAGUACAAGGCUAUGUUCCCAAAACACACAAGUGACAUACCUUAUGUGGAUGAUGUGAUCAGGCUUGUGUUUGAUGAGGUAUUUGAAGAUAAGCUGAAGGAAACCCUGAUUCCAAUGGACCUGGCAUCACAGUUUGAGAGACCUUCAAAGGAGGACGUGAUUGCAUGCC